UCGAACGCUUUUUCUUUCACCGGUAGCUUGCUCCACCGAAAGAAAAAGAGUGGCGAAACGGGUGAGUAACACGUGGGUAACCUGCCCAUCAGAAGGGGAUAACACUUGGAAACAGGUGCUAAUACCGUAUAACACUAUUUUCCGCAUGGAAGAAAGUUGAAAGGCGCUUUUGCGUCACUGAUGGAUGGACCCGCGGUGCAUUAGCUAGUUGGUGAGGUAACGGCUCACCAAGGCAACGAUGCAUAGCCGACCUGAGAGGGUGAUCGGCCACACUGGGACUGAGACACGGCCCAGACUCCUACGGGAGGCAGCAGUAGGGAAUCUUCGGCAAUGGACGAAAGUCUGACCGAGCAACGCCGCGUGAGUGAAGAAGGUUUUCGGAUCGUAAAACUCUGUUGUUAGAGAAGAACAAGGAUGAGAGUAAAAUGUUCAUCCCUUGACGGUAUCUAACCAGAAAGCCACGGCUAACUACGUGCCAGCAGCCGCGGUAAUACGUAGGUGGCAAGCGUUGUCCGGAUUUAUUGGGCGUAAAGCGAGCGCAGGCGGUUUCUUAAGUCUGAUGUGAAAGCCCCCGGCUCAACCGGGGAGGGUCAUUGGAAACUGGGAGACUUGAGUGCAGAAGAGGAGAGUGGAAUUCCAUGUGUAGCGGUGAAAUGCGUAGAUAUAUGGAGGAACACCAGUGGCGAAGGCGGCUCUCUGGUCUGUAACUGACGCUGAGGCUCGAAAGCGUGGGGAGCGAACAGGAUUAGAUACCCUGGUAGUCCACGCCGUAAACGAUGAGUGCUAA
rnacentral:rRNA from 1 species